AUAGCAAAGUUUGCAAAUUUUGUAUACUUUUGUAUUGCAUGCGAAAAUUGCAAUACAAAAGUGUACAAAAUUUGCAAACUUUGUUUGGCUAU
rnacentral:miRNA from 1 species